rnacentral:rRNA from 1 species
AUUGAACGCUGUCGGCAGGCCUAACACAUGCAAGUCGAGCGAGCGGCGGACGGGUGAGUAAUGCCUGGGAAACUGCCUGAUGGAGUUGGAUAACUACUGGAAACGGUAGCUAAUAACGCAUUCCAUUAGAUGUGCCCAGAUGGGAUUAGCUGGUAGGUUGGGUAAUGGCUUACCUAGGCGACGAUCCCUAGCGGGUCUGAGAGGAUGACCAGCCACAAUGGGACUGAGACACUGUCCAGACUCCUACGGGAGGCAGCAGUGGGGAAUAUUGGACAAUGGGCGAAAGCCUGAUCCAGCCAUGCCGCGUGUGUGAAGAAGGUCUUCGGAUUGUAAAGCACUUUAAGUUGGGAGGCGUUACCAACAGAAUAAGCACCGGCUAACUACGUGCCAGCAGCCGCGGUAAUAC